UGACUAUACAAAGGUAUUGUAAUAAGAUUUUAAUUGAAUGCUAAAAGAAUGGAAAAUUAAAAAAAAACUUUUUUAAAAAUAAAAAUUAAAUUUUUUUUAAUUUGUGCAAAAACAAUUAUAUAUAUUAAAGACAAGAAGACCCUAAGAAUUUAUGAUUUUACAAUUAAAAAAUUUUUUUUAAAAAAAUCUUGAUUGGGGCGAUCAAAAAAUAUCAAUAACUUUUUAAAAAUUUAAGAUGAUCUAUUAUUAGUAAACUAAUGAAUUAAAUACUCUAGGGAUAACAGCGUAAUAAUUUUUGAUAGAUCUUAUUGACAAAAUAGUUUGCGACCUCGAUGUUGGAUUAGGAUUCUUUUUUAACGAAGAAGUUAAAAAAAGAAGUUUGUUCAACUUUUAAAUUCCUACUUGAUCUGA
rnacentral:rRNA from 1 species